GCUUUCGAAAUCAAUAUUUCUCUUGAAUGAAAAUUUGUGUUGUUAUAAGCAUAUAGUAAAAAGUUAAAGCAAUGUUGGUGGUUAAACUAUGGUUCGUAGGAAAUCCUUCAACACACAUAUUAGUUAUUCAGUUGAUUGGUUGUUAUCAUCAUCAUGGUCAAGCCAUGCUCUUGUCAUGCUCACCACACGAAUGUGGUCACUCAGUUUUAUUGUUGGACAUUACUGAUAGUAUUUAAAUUGGCAGUUAAUGGCAUCUACAUUGUAUUCAAAGUUUUGUGCACCCAAACACUUUGUAUUGUUGUACCUAUUGUUAAAAAGACAACCAUCAACCAAAGAAUAUUAUUUAUAUAUCUUUGGGUCACCAUACAGUCUUCAACAAUGAGCUAAAG
rnacentral:lncRNA from 1 species